rnacentral:rRNA from 1 species
UCAAGUUAUUAAGGGUGCAGGGCGAAUGCCUUGGCACUAGGAGCCGAUGAAGGACGUGAUAAGCUGCGAUAAGCUUCGGGGAGUUGCACGUAAACUUUGAUCCGAAGAUUUCCGAAUGAGGAAACUCACUUAGAGUAAUGUCUAAGUAUCGUAUGAUGAAUACAUAGUCAUGCGAGGGGAACCCGGAGAACUGAAACAUCUAAGUACCCGGAGGAAGAGAAAGAAAUUCGAUUCCGUAAGUAGCGGCGAGCGAACGCGGAACAGGCCAAACCAGUGAAGUUUUCUUCGCUGGGGUUGCGGACAUAUCAUAACGAAGAGGUAUCGUAGAAGAAGAGAGUUGGAAAGCUCCGCCAUAGAUGGUAACAGCCCAGUACUUUAAACGAGAAGACUUUAGAUAUGAUCCAGAGUACCACGGGACACGUGAAACCCUGUGGGAAGCAGGAGGGACCAUCCUCCAAGCCUAAAUACUACCUAGUGACCGAUAGCGUAUAGUACCGUGAGGGAAAGGUGAAAAGAACCCCGGGAGGGGAGUGAAAGAGAACCUGAAACCCUGCACUUACAAGCUGUAGGAGCACAUUAUUUGUGUGACUGCGUACUUUUUGUAGAACGGGCCAACGAGUUACGUUGUGUAGCAAGGUUAAGCACUUAAGGUGUGGAGCCGUAGCGAAAGCGAGUCUUAAAUGGGCGUCCAGUUACCCGACGUAGACCCGAAACCAGGCGACCUAUCCAUGAGCAGGUUGAAGCGAAAGUAAAAUUUCGUGGAGGACCGAACCCACGUACGUUGAAAAGUGCGGGGAUGACUUGUGGAUAGCGGUGAAAUUCCAAUCGAGCCUGGAGAUAGCUGGUUCUCCCCGAAAUAGCUUUAGGGCUAGCCUCAAGCUUAGAGAAACGGAGGUAGAGCACUGAAUGUCCUAGGGGGUAUUGCACUUACCGAAGACUAUCAAACUCCGAAUGCCGUAUUCUUUUGCUUGGGAGUCAGACUAUGGGUGAUAAGAUUCAUAGUCAAGAGGGCAACAGCCCAGAUCGUCAGCUAAGGUCCCUAAAUGUAAGUUAAGUGGUAAAGGAUGUGGAAUUGCACAGACAACCAGGAUGUUGGCUUAGAAGCAGCCACUCAUUUAAAGAGUGCGUAAUAGCUCACUGGUCGAGUGAUUCUGCGCCGAAAAUUUCCGGGGCUAAAACUUACUACCGAAGCUACGGCAUCAUUAUGAUGGGUAGGGGAGCUUUCUAUGCGGCUUGAAGCAUGACCGUAAGGACAUGUGGACUGCAUAGAAGUGAGAAUGUUGGCAUGAGUAGCGAGAUGUGGGUGAGAAUCCCACAGGCCGUAAACCCAAGGUUUCCAGGGGAAGGUUCGUCCGCCCUGGGUUAGUCAGGACCUAAGCCGAGGCCGAAAGGCGUAGGUGAUGGACAACAGGUUGAUAUUCCUGUACCACCAAUAACCGUUUGAGAAAUGGGAUGACACAGUAGGAUAAGCUAACCGCACUGUUGGUUAUGUGCGGGCAAGUAUUGAGGCAGUUCCGAUAGGCAAAUCCGUCGGAAUAAUGCUGGGGUACGAUGCGGAGCGAAAUUUAGUAGCGAAGUAGCUGAUUUCACACUGUCGAGAAAAGUCUCUAUCGAGGUUAAAGGUGCCUGUACCGCAAACCGACACAGGUGGGUGAGGAGAGUAUCCUAAGGCCAGCGAGAGAACUGUUGUUAAGGAACUCGGCAAAAUGACCCCGUAACUUAGGGAGAAGGGGUGCCUUCGAAAGAAGGCCGCAGAGAAUAGGCCCAAGCGACUGUUUACCAAAAACAUAGGUUUCUGCUAAGUCGCAAGACGAUGUAUAGGAGCUGACGCCUGCCCGGUGCUGGAAGGUUAAGGGGAUCUGUUAGAGCAAUCGAAGCAGUGAACUUAAGCCCCAGUAAACGGCGGCCGUAACUAUAACGGUCCUAAGGUAGCGAAAUUCCUUGUCGGGUAAGUUCCGACCCGCACGAAAGGCGUAAUGAUUUG